rnacentral:lncRNA from 1 species
UCCUAAGGAGAAACAUGAGGAAACACUAGCUGCAAGUGCUGCAGAGCAGCCUGAUGAAGAUUAUGAGUCAGAUACUGGUCUCGAUUCACUGGAUUUGCCUGAAGUCCCGAAAGCUGCUAUUCGUCCACCUACUGAUGCCCCAUCAACCCCAGAUAUUGGUCCACAUGAUCAAAGCUCUCAAUCAACUCCUCAUGAAUUCUCAAAUCCCAAUUUGCCUUCAGUCCCAAAAGCUGCAGUUUGUCCACCUCCUGACGUACCAUCAACCCAUGAUAUUGGUCCACAUGCUCAAACCUCCCAGUCAAUUCCUCAUGAAUUCUCAAAUCCUACCGACUUGGAGGAGAAUCCAACAGCUGAUGGUAUUUUUAAGAUUCAAA